rnacentral:rRNA from 1 species
AACGAACGCUGGCGGCAUGCCUAACACAUGCAAGUCGAACGAGACCUUCGGGUCUAGUGGCGCACGGGUGCGUAACGCGUGGGAACCUGCCUUUAGGUUCGGAAUAACUCAGUGAAAUUUGAGCUAAUACCGGAUGAUGUCUUCGGACCAAAGAUUUAUCGCCUUUGGAUGGGCCCGCGUUGGAUUAGCUAGUUGGUGGGGUAAAGGCCUACCAAGGCGACGAUCCAUAGCUGGUCUGAGAGGAUGAUCAGCCACACUGGGACUGAGACACGGCCCAGACUCCUACGGGAGGCAGCAGUGGGGAAUAUUGGACAAUGGGCGAAAGCCUGAUCCAGCAAUGCCGCGUGAGUGAUGAAGGCCUUAGGGUUGUGAAGCUCUUUUACCCGAGAUGAUAAUGACGGUAUCGGGAGAAUAAGCACCGGCUAACUCCGUG